UAAAAAUUAGUUAAAUAAAUAAAUAUUAAAUUGUCAAUUUAAAGUUAAUAUAUUUAUAAAUAAUAUUUUUAA
rnacentral:tRNA from 1 species